rnacentral:rRNA from 1 species
UACGGAGGGGGCUAGCGUUGUUCGGAAUUACUGGGCGUAAAGCGUGCGCAGGCGGUUCGUUGUGUCGGUGGUGAAAUCCCCGGGCUUAACCUGGGAAUGGCCAUGGAAACUGGCGAACUGGAGUGUGGCAGAGGGGGGUGGAAUUCCGCGUGUAGCAGUGAAAUGCGUAGAUAUCAGGAGGAAUACCGAUGGCGAAGGCAGGUCUCUGGGCUGACACUGACGCUCAUGCACGAAAGCGUGGGGAGCAAACAGG